AUGCUUGCUUCAGCAGCACAUAUACUAAAAUUGAAACCAAACAGAGAAGAUUAGCAUGGUCCCUGUAUAAAGAUGAUACACAAAUUCAUGAAGCAUUCUAUAAAUAU
ensembl:snRNA U6 U6 spliceosomal RNA